GACAUGGGAAGCUUGCUUCCUAUGAAAUCGAGUGGCAAACGGGUGAGUAACGCGUAAACAACCUGCCCUUCGGAUGGGGAUAACAGCCGGAAACGGCUGCUAAUACCGAAUACGAUCUUUUCGUCGCAUGACGGAAAGAAGAAAGGAUGGCCUCUAUACAAAGCUAUCGCCGAAGGAGGGGUUUGCGUCUGAUUAGCUGGUUGGAGGGGUAACGGCCCAACAAGGCGAUGAUCAGUAGCCGGUCUGAGAGGAUGAACGGCCACAUUGGGACUGAGACACGGCCCAGACUCCUACGGGAGGCAGCAGUGGGGAGUCUUCCGCAAUGGACGAAAGUCUGACGGAGCAACGCCGCGUGAGUGAAGAAGGUCUUCGGAUUGUAAAACUCUGUUAUACGGGACGAAAAAGACGGAUGCCAACAGUAUCCGUCCGUGACGGUACC
rnacentral:rRNA from 1 species